CGCUCACGUGGCCUAGUGCUUAAAAAGUCCACCUCGGAUGCGGGAGGUCGUGGGUUCGAUCCCCGACCGAGUGA